rnacentral:lncRNA from 1 species
AUGUGGGAAUUACUCAGAGAACUGAACCAGCAACACCUAACUGAAAGUGGAAGGGCAUUCCAGCGCACACAACAGAAUCAGGGCUUUCCUCCCUGCAGCGCAGGUCUGUCACCGGGGGCUGAGGGCAACGCCUGGAAUACUCACACACCACAGCUCUCCUGCACAGGAUCCUGUACCAGCCCCACCUCUGCUCAAGAGCCGGUCUCUGUACCCGCGUGCUGGACAGUGGUUAUAGAGACACGAGCGGCAGUACGCGGUGAGGCGUGGCGCCACGGAGACACGUAUCCCAACACUUCCACCACCCCCUCCCCCCAACUCCCUUCCCGAGACAGCACUGGAGUAGCCCUGUGCCAGACUCGGCCCCAGCCACCGACCUGCGGCAGGAGCUACGGUAAUCCCCAUGCCGUACAGCUGAGCGAAGAGGAGUGUGGGAUUGUAGGGCAGACGUGUCCAGGAAACACAUCCUUGGAAUUGAUAUUUUUUCUAAUCAUGCUCACACGCAUCCUUGUGCUUCUGUUCAGCCUCUGCAAGCUCUUCAGUCCGAAUUACUUUGCUUUUCCACUCCAGCCCUGAUUCAGGUAUACAAGUUUACAUACGAAUAUAUACCACAUGGCACUGUUUAGCUGUGGAAUUUCCGUUUUUGGGAUUACUGGGUUUUAUUCUGCUCUCAGAGAGAGAGAAUAAAGACAUCAAGCCCAGAGUGAGUGUCUCUCUCGGGUCCCUGUGCUAGUUUUCCCUCGCCCUCUCCCUCCCUGGUGCUGUUAUUUUGUUGUUCUUGCUGUUGGCUGAACUCCUGCAGCACGAGGAAGUGGUGUGUGUCAUCUGUGUGGAGUGUCUGCAGCGUGAGGCUCUUACCAGCCUGGCGAAAUGGCCUCCUCUCAGGCCCUGUCGACUGAGCUGCUGCUCGCCUGUCUCUCAGUCUGGCGAGGGCCCUGCUGCUGUGUAGCCUUAAGAGACAGGAAACUUCCAAGCAGCCCUAGUCCAGCAGCCCUGCCUGAUCCCACACACCAGACACCUACCCCCAGCCCAGCACCCGGCUCUCUCCUGCUCUUACUGGCCAGCUGGCCUGUCACUCACCACACCUCCCUGGCUGGAUAGGCUAGCCACUGUUCCCUUUCCUGUAUGUCUGAGGGCAAGGCACCCUGGGAUUCGUAGUUCUUCUCUACUAUUCCACCUGCUCCAAAGCCCUCCUUGUGGACUACGUGUCCCAGGCUGCCCUCAGCCACUCCAACGUAAGCACCCAGGGCAGAAUUAUAUACUACAGUAUGUUGCUAGCAGGAUGCCAGGUACUGAAAGUACAGACGAGCCAUCAAACAGGCCUCGGUCUCGGAGAUAAACACUCCCCUCCGUGCCCUCCCCGAGCUGCAGGAGAACCCUGGGAGCUGUCCUGUGGCUCAGCCUUCCACUGAGGUUUUUCCACAGACUUUGAGAUUAAAAACACCCUGACCUAAAUUAACGCUGUUUUAGAACCACACGUAUCCAGUCUGCACGAAAGAUCGGCACACAAAGAAAUAAAAUAAAACUCAAACUCACCAUCUACUGUACUUACUGUACUAUACCAUACUGUACAUAAACAUUCGAGGUCAUUUCCUAAAAAAAUGAAAAAGUAGUUCCUGUUGCCUGCUACUGUACCUUGUCCAGUUUUUUUUUCUUCCUUUCUUUUGGUCUGUUUUCCCUCCCUAGCAAGGAAACUUUAAUUUUUAUUUUAAAAAAAAGAGAAGAAAAAGUAAAGUCUGAACAGAUAAGCCAGCCCUGCACACAGUGACAAAGAUAACUUCCUUUACUGAAGAAAAGCCAGACACUAGAUCUCAACUCCUGCCUGGCUGCCUGCUUUCCUCCCU